rnacentral:rRNA from 1 species
CCGCAAGGUUAAAACUCAAAUGAAUUGACGGGGGCCCGCACAAGCGGUGGAGCAUGUGGUUUAAUUCGAUGCAACGCGAAGAACCUUACCUGGUCUUGACAUCCACAGAACUUUCCAGAGAUGGAUUGGUGCCUUCGGGAACUGUGAGACAGGUGCUGCAUGGCUGUCGUCAGCUCGUGUUGUGAAAUGUUGGGUUAAGUCCCGCAACGAGCGCAACCCUUAUCCUUUGUUGCCAGCGAUUAGGUCGGGAACUCA